UACGUAGGGUGCGAGCGUUAAUCGGAAUUAUUGGGCGUAAAGAGCUCGUAGGCGGUUUGUUGCGUCGGCUGUGAAAUCCCGAGGCUCAACCUCGGGUCUGCAGUCGAUACGAGCAAACUAGAGUGUUGCAGGGGAGACUGGAAUUCCUGGUGUAGCGGUGAAAUGCGCAGAUAUCAGGAGGAACACCGGUGGCGAAGGCGGGUCUCUGGGCAACAACUGACGCUGAGGAGCGAAAGCGUGGGGAGCGAACAGG
rnacentral:rRNA from 1 species